rnacentral:rRNA from 1 species
CCUACGGGUGGCUGCAGUCGAGAAUCAUUCACAAUGGGGGAAACCCUGAUGGUGCGACGCCGCGUGGGGGAAUGAAGGUCUUCGGAUUGUAAACCCCUGUCAUGUGGGAGCAAAUUAAAAAGAUAGUACCACAAGAGGAAUAGACGGCUAACUCUGUGCCAGCAGCCGCGUUAAUACAGAGGUCUCAAGUGUUGUUCGGAAUCACUGUGCGUAAAGGGUGCGUAGGCUGUUUUGUAAGUCGUGUGUGAAAGGCGCGGGCUCAACCCGCGGACGGCACAUGAUACUGGUAGACUAGAGUAAUGGAGGAGGAUGCGGAAUUCUUGGUGUAGCAGUGAAAUGCAUAGAUAUCGAGAGGAACACUCGUGGCGAAGGCGGGUUACUGGACAUUAACUGACGCUGAGGCACGAAGGCCAGGGGAGCGAAAGGGAUUAGAUACCCGAGUAGUC